UACGAAGGGGGCUAGCGUUGCUCGGAAUCACUGGGCGUAAAGCGCACGUAGGCGGAUUGCUAAGUCAGGGGUGAAAUCCCGGGGCUCAACCUCGGAACUGCCUUUGAUACUGGAGAUCUUGAGUCCGGAAGAGGUAAGUGGAACUGCGAGUGUAGAGGUGAAAUUCGUAGAUAUUCGCAAGAACACCAGUGGCGAAGGCGGCUUACUGGUCCGGUUCUGACGCUGAGGCGCGAAAGCGUGGGGAGCAAACAGG
rnacentral:rRNA from 1 species